GACGAACGCUGGCGGCGUGCUUAACACAUGCAAGUCGAACGGACAGGCCCUGCUUUUGUGGGGUGCUCGAGUGGCGAACGGGUGAGUAACACGUGAGUAACCUGCCCUUGACUUUGGGAUAACUUCAGGAAACUGGGGCUAAUACCGGAUAGGAGCUCCUGCUGCAUGGUGGGGGUUGGAAAGUUUCGGCGGUUGGGGAUGGACUCGCGGCUUAUCAGCUUGUUGGUGGGGUAGUGGCUUACCAAGGCUUUGACGGGUAGCCGGCCUGAGAGGGUGACCGGCCACAUGGGGACUGAGAUACGGCCCAGACUCCUACGGGAGGCAGUAGUGGGGAAUAUGGCACAAUGGGCGGAAGCCUGAUGCAGCAACGCCGCGUGCGGGAUGACGGCCUUCGGGUUGUAAACCGCUUUCGCCUGUGACGAAGCGUGAGUGACGGUAAUGGGUAAAGAAGCACCGGCUAACUACGUG
rnacentral:rRNA from 1 species